rnacentral:tRNA from 1 species
UCUAAAUAGUUUAAGAAAAAUUUAAGUUUGUGGUACUUAAGAUGUAAAAUUUUACUUUGGACUA